UAGGUUGUAUGUAUGGAAUGAUGUGA
rnacentral:piRNA from 1 species